CCUACGGGUGGCAGCAGUCGAGAAUUAUGCACAAUGGGGGAAACCCUGAUGGGGCGACGCCGCGUGGGGGAAUGAAGGUCUCCGGAUUGUAAACCCCUGUCAUGUGGGAGCAAAUUAAAAAGAUAGUACCACAAGAGGAAGAGACGGCUAACUCUGGGCCAGCAGCCGCGGUAAUACAGAGGGCUCAAGCGUUGUUCGGAAUCACUGGGCGUAAAGCGUGCGUAGGCUGUUUCGUAAGUCGGAUGUGAAAGGCGCGGGCUCAACCCGCGGACGGCACCGGAUACUGCGAGACUAGAGUAAAGGAGGGGGAACCGGAAUUCUCGGUGUAGCCGUGAAAUGCGUAGAUAUCGGGAGGAACACUCGUGGCGAAGGCGGGUUCCUGGACAUUAACUGACGCUGAGGCACGAAGGCCAGGGGAGCGAAAGGGAUUAGAUACCCUUGUAGUC
rnacentral:rRNA from 1 species